UACGGGGGGAGCAAGCGUUGUUCGGAUUUACUGGGCGUAAAGGGCGCGCAGGCGGCUCAUCUUGUCAGGCGUGAAAGCCCCGGGCUUAACCUGGGAACUGCGUUUGAUACGGAUGGGCUAGAGUUCGGGAGAGGAGAGUGGAAUUCCCAGUGUAGAGGUGAAAUUCGUAGAUAUUGGGAAGAACACCAGUGGCGAAGGCGGCUCUCUGGACCGAUACUGACGCUGAGGCGCGAAAGCGUGGGGAGCAAACAGG
rnacentral:rRNA from 1 species